rnacentral:rRNA from 1 species
AGUGAACGCUUGGCGUUAGGCCUUAACACAUGCAAGUCGAAACGGCAGCACAGGGAGCUUGCUCUCUUGGUUGGCGAGUGCCGGACGGUUGAGGAAUGCAUCGGAAUCUACUCUUUGUGGGGGAUAACGUAGGGAAACUUACGCUAAUACCGCAUAGACCUACGGGUGAAAGCCGGGGACCUUGGGCCUGGCGCGAAAGAAUGAGCCGAUGCCCGAUUAGCUAGUUGGCGGGGUAAGAGCCCACCAAGGCGACGAUCGGUAGCUGGUCUGAGAGGAUGAUCAGCCACACUGGAACUGAGACACGGUCCAGACUCCUACGGGAGGCAGCAGUGGGGAAUAUUGGACAAUGGGCGCAAGCCUGAUCCAGCCAUACCGCGUGGGUGAAGAAGGCCUUCGGGUUGUAAAGCCCUUUUGUUGGGAAAGAAAAGCAGUACGGUUAAUACCCGAUUGUUCUGACGGUACCCAAAGAAUAAGCACCGGCUAACUUAC